rnacentral:lncRNA from 1 species
CCACUUUCUCUGUAUUCAUUUCUUAUAGGUAAAUACAGGAGCCAGGCCACUCAAGUUGAAAAAUCAUGGAAAUGGGGAGCUCUGUGCCCAGGUCCCAUAUCAUUUAGAUUCGGUGAGAAGUACAAACCGUAAGCAUUCUACGUCACUGCCAGACAACAUGUGGCUUACUGGUUCUGUCACUGUGCUGAAGAAGACAACCAGAGUGAUGGUCAUUCCUGUUUUAAUUGAUGGAAACUACUGGCUGAAAAAAAAAAAAAAGCACAGUGAUGAAAAGGAAGUGACACCAGCUUUAUCCAUGUCUGUCCAUUGGCAUGGGAUUCAUUGAGACCAUCAGAGCCCCAUGGCUUGAGAAUCUUCUUUGGGCUCCCUGAGGCUACCGCGGCUGGAAGAGUGAGUGGUUUGGACAACGGCUAAUGAAUAAGGCCCGAGCCAAGACCAGACCUUAACCUAAAGCACUGCUGUGUCAUUAAGUCCAGAGCUUUGCAAAAAAUUUCAUGAAAAGGAAUACAUGGCACAAGUUUUCACUGGCCAGUUUUGCAAGCC